UUCCCUCAAAGAGGGUAAAAUGUAGACUUAAAAAAAAAGACAGAAGAUUUGGAUUCACACAACAGUUGUUCUGUGUGAAUCUGUCCAAGUUUGGAAAUUGCCCAUGGGCUUGUCCAGGUGGCAGCUGUGGAGCUCAAAGGAUGAAAGUGAAAGCAAGACCAGCUUCUCUCAUUUUUAUGAAAGGAUAAGUGGAGGUCAGAGCAAGGACAGGCAUCUCAGCCUAAAGCUGAAGCAAUCCAAGGGAGCCAGAGGCAAAAAGCCACAAACACUAGGGAGCCUUGGGAACUGAAGCUACAGGAGAAUCUGACCCUAGGAUGGAGCAAAACAUGGAAGGACUGAUCAAAAAAAGAAUCCAAGAAUCCAGUAGUUGUUCAGUGCAUGAGGCUGGAUGUCUCCACUGGUCUUCAUACACAUUGGGAUCCUGAAGAAGGAAUGGACUUGCCAGUGAGCGCAAGACCAAGCAGUAUACACACACGAGAACACAAGGCACAUGCACGUACGCACACAUUCACAUACCCUCUCUCUCUCACACACACAUGUGCAUGCAUGUACACACAGGCACAUAGGCACAUGCAUGUACACUAACAUUCUCCACCACCACCCCCCCACACACACAUGCACUUGCAUGCCCUACCUCACCAGCAAGAACCCAAUGUCAGAAGACCAGCCUUGGAAGCAAGAAAGGAAGCCAGCUGCAACAGGUUUGCUGGCGUCUGACUUGAGCAGACGAGGCAACCUGAGCCAAAGGAGCACAAGUUGAAGCCUGUGUUGUAACACUAGCAGAAUCUCAGCGACAG